GCACUCCACGGUGCCUACAGUGCUCAGCACUGUCAUCAUGACCCCAAAAGAGCCCGAGUCACUACCUGUGUGUGCAUACGGGUCACAGUAUCGACUGCCGGAGAUCCUCGGCCUGUUUCCCCGUGGGGGGGGGAAACGUGUUCUGCUCAGUCAGCUGAGAAGGGGGCAGACUGAGGAAUGUGGGCCGGCGAGCGAGGAGCUGACAGGCCGACGCCCCCUCAUCUAUAAAGCUUUAAUACUAGUUAUUAAUCUUGCCCAAAGCAACAACGUGCAUUUAAAUAACAGCAGGACGCACGAACCUCGUCCUCCGUAUUCCACCACAGGGGGGCCGUAAAUCACCCCGGCUGCUUGGCAGGAGUCGUGGAUCAUCGCACAAUGGUUAAUUAAAGCCGGAUCAAUCCCGGUGCCACCGGUUCUUUCUCUACGCCGCGUCUACAGAGAGCAGUCCCACGGCCGAGGAGGAGGAGGAGGAAGAGGAGGAGGAGGAGGCCUGUGAUGUUUGCUCGGAGCUAGAAAAAAGAGGCUGCCACUCAUAUUUGUACAGAGGACAAAGCCACGCUGGCCCUCUGGCACCGUAUGAAAGACGUGUUUUCACAGCGCGUACAGCAAAUACAACUGUCCUUUUUUCUUCUUCGUCUUCUUCUUCUUCUUCUUCUUCUCCUCCUCGCUUUUCCAAAUGCCGUCGCCAAAUUUUAGAAGAGUGAGUUUUGUGCCGGUUGCCGUGACGACUGGUCGGGGCAGUGAAGAUGGUCCGGGGGCAGCCGAGGUCACAGCUCGUAUCGGAUGUCCUCGGCAGCUAAACAGGAGAACAUCGGUACAAGUCGACACUUAUUCAACAGAUCAAACACUCCUCAAGGAUGACAUGGUUGCCAUUGUACGUAUCUGCCAAUACAAAAAAGGCUUUUUGAAACCACUGGAAAGCUGUAAGAAGUUAUGAAUAUUUAAUGAUGCUUUUUGUUGACAAGCAAAACUAGAUUUUUCCCCAAUGAGUCCAGAGCCGCGCAGCAGUGAUGUCAGCGAGCCCGUUCGUUUCUUCCAUUCCUCUGUAUGCGGCCAAGACUUUUUCAUAGAGCAGACAUGAAAUGAAGCGGGGGGGGAGGGAUGA